CCCUGGGAGGGUUUACUCAGAAGUAAGCCACAUUGCCAGCAACUGAGCUUACUCCCAGUUCCUCCAAGGCCAUGAUGACUUCUGUCCGGAACUGACUUCUGUCAACUAAAUUACAGAUAAUCAUUGGUAACAGAUAUUUACGAUUAAAUUUACGAACACUUUUGUAACCUUUUAAUACAUCCUUAAUAUCCUUUUGCCCCCUUUUCCCCCUCCACCCCCAAAUCCUUCCUUCUUUUUUCAAACAUGCACAGCAGGUGCAUUCUUUCAGUUCUUCUUUUCCACUUCUAUUCUGUGAUUCCAACUUCAGACGACCAGUCUGUGAAUUCAGUCCAAACUGUCAACAUGUCCAUUUGUUUAUCUUGCCAUAUUUGGUUUCUGGACAUUAUUCCAAAAAUUUCCAAUUGUAUCUGCUCCCAUACAUAUUCCAUCCAUUUCUGCAUAUUCCACAUGUUUUUAUUUUUCCAUCCCAAUGCUAUUAAGGCAAGGACUGCUCUAAUCAUCAAUGUGAAUAAUAACCGUUUUCUUUGUUCUAUUUCUUUGUUUUCAAUUAUGUCUAUAAAUAAUAAGUCUAUAUUUAUU